rnacentral:rRNA from 1 species
UACGGGGGGGGUAAGCGUUGUUCGGAAUUACUGGGCGUAAAGGGCUCGUAGGCGGCCAACUAAGUCAGACGUGAAAUCCCUCAGCUUAACUGGGGAACUGCGUCUGAUACUGGAUGGCUUGAGUUCGGGAGAGGGAUGCGGAAUUCCAGGUGUAGCGGUGAAAUGCGUAGAUAUCUGGAGGAACACCGGUGGCGAAGGCGGCAUCCUGGACCGACACUGACACUGAGGAGCGAAAGCGUGGGGAGCAAACAGG